GAUGAACGCUAGCUACAGGCUUAACACAUGCAAGUCGAGGGGUAACGAGAGGAAAGCUUGCUUUCCUUGUCGACGACCGGCGCACGGGUGAGUAACGCAUAUCCAACCUGCCCCCAACUAGGGAAUAACCUUGCGAAAGUAAGACUAAUACCCUAUAAUUUCCUAAGAUGCCAUCUGACGAGGAAUAAAGAUUUAUCGGUUGUGGAUGGGGAUGCGUCUGAUUAGCUUGUUGGCGGGGUAACGGCCCACCAAGGCAACGAUCAGUAGGGGUUCUGAGAGGAAGGUCCCCCACAUUGGAACUGAGACACGGUCCAACCUCCUACGGGAGGCAGCAGUGAGGAAUAUUGGUCAAUGGGCGGAAGCCUGAACCAGCCAAGUAGCGUGCAGGAUGACGGCCCUAUGGGUUGUAAACUGCUUUUAUACAGGAAUAAAGUUAGCCACGUGUGGUUAUUUGUAGGUACUGUAUGAAUAAGGACCGGCUAAUUCCGUGCCAGCCGCCGCAGUAA
rnacentral:rRNA from 1 species